rnacentral:rRNA from 1 species
GACAGAGGGUGCAAACGUUGUUCGGAAUUACUGGGCGUAAAGCGCGUGUAGGCGGCUAUGCAAGUCGGAUGUGAAAGCCCUCGGCUCAACCGGGGAAGUGCACCCGAAACUGCAAAGCUAGAGUCUCGGAGAGGAUCGUGGAAUUCUCGGUGUAGAGGUGAAAUUCGUAGAUAUCUGGAGGAACACCGGUGGCGAAGGCGGCAUCCUGGACCGGUAUUGACGCUGAGGCGCGAAAGCUAGGGGAGCAAACGGG